rnacentral:rRNA from 1 species
AUUGAACGCUGGCGGUAGGCCUAACACAUGCAAGUCGAACGAGUGGCGGACGGGUGAGGAAUGCAUCGGAAUCUACUCUGUCGUGGGGGAUAACGACGGGAAACGUAAGCUAAUACCGCAUACGAUUGAAUGAGCCGAUGUCGGAUGAGCUAGUUGGCGGGGUAAAGGCCCACCAAGGCGACGAUCCGUAGCUGGUCUGAGAGGAUGAUCAGCCACACUGGAACUGAGACACGGUCCAGACUCCUACGGGAGGCAGCAGUGGGGAAUAUUGGACAAUGGGCGCAAGCCUGAUCCAGCCAUACCGCGUGGGUGAAGAAGGCCUUCGGGUUGUAAAGCCCUUUUGGUGGGAAAGCGGUACCCAAAGAAGAAGCACCGGCUAACUUCGUGCCAGCAGCCGCGGUAAUUC